rnacentral:lncRNA from 1 species
GACUUUUUAUUUUAUUUUAGUUUUAUAAUUUUCAUUUUUUGUCACUUUUAUUCUUAUUUGCCAUUAUUUUUUGUGUUAUUGGUCUAUUGAGUUUUAUUAUUUCUUUUAUAUUUUUUUAUUAGUUUCAAUAUUAUUUUUCUUUUUAGGCUAGGUUUAUUUAUUUUCUUAAUUAUUCUAAUUAUUAUUAUUACUAUUAUUAGUUUACUAAAGUUUAUUAUUAUUAAAUUUCAUUAUUCUUAUUAGUGUG